rnacentral:rRNA from 1 species
CGGGGGGUGCAAGCGUUAAUCGUAAUCACUGGGCUUAAAGGGUGCGUAGGCGUUACGUUAGGUCUGUCGUGAAAUCCCCGGGCUCAACCUGGGAAUGGCGGUAGAAACCGGCGAACUAGAGUAUGGGAGAGGGUGGUGGAAUUCCAGGUGUAGCGGUGAAAUGCGUAGAGAUCUGGAGGAACAUCAGUGGCGAAGGCGGCCACCUGGCCCAAUACUGACGCUGAGGCACGAAAGCGUGGGGAGCAAAUAGGAUAAGAUACCCUGGUAGUCCACGCCCUAAACGAUGAAUACUAGAUGUUUGGUACCUAGCGUACUGAGUGUCGUAGCUAACGCGAUAAGUAUUCCGCCUGGGAAGUACGGCCGCAAGGUUAAAACUCAAAGGAAUUGACGCGGGCCCGCACAAGCGGUGGAGUAUGUGGUUUAAUUCGAUGCAACGCGAAGAACCUUACCUGGGCUUGACAUGUCCGGAAUCCUGCAGAGAUGCGGGAGUGCCCUUCGGGGAAUCG